UUAUUUUGGUUUAACAUAAAAAUUAAAUCACUUUUUUUCAUUAAUUUCAACAAAAGAAUAUUCAUAACAAUAGGUUUCCUUAACUCACUUGGAGAGUCCCAAAAAGAUGUGAAGAGGUGCUUGGAAGUAACAAGGUGAGAAAAACAAGAACAAUUAUUGUUUAUUAUAAUAAAAAAUGUCAUAAUUGGAUAACUAGAAUGUUAAUUUAACAUUUUAUCCUCUCAACAAGGAGAUUUAUGAGAAGCAAAGGGAUGAAAGUGUCAAUGUGGAAAUGUGAAACAGUAUAACAUGCCAUCCAGCAAGAUGUGGUUUCAUGUGGUGUGUUUGCGCUUAAAUUUGCAGAGUGCAUACUGGAAAACAAGGACCUGAACUUUCCAUCAGCAGCAGAAGCUGUUAAUACCAUGAGACUCAACAUGUCUUCCACACUUCUCUCAGAAUCAGAGUCAGUGGAGACUCUGCAGACACUGUGGCAGUGAGGACACAGAAGAUCACAUGUGGGUAAGACAACAAUGUAAUGCAGUGAAAAAUCAAUUCAAGCAAACCAUAUACCAUCCUUAAAAUAGUUGCAAAGUAUGUAGAUAUACAAAAAUAAAUCAUAAUAAAAUAAAUAAACACCCAAGGCAGGUAAGUGGGAAGUAGCUUAAGUUUUCUUUUUUUUUAAGUACAGUCGUAAAACAUUAAACACAGAUGCUUGUGGUCCUAGAAUUUUUUUUACCUCCAUACAUGUCAGGAACAUGCUGUCAUCUCCUCAAAUAAAGUUCUACCAAUCAUAUAUUGAUAAUUAAGAAGAAGCUUUAUGUUGGCAAAACCCAAUAUCACCUUCAGUAAACAGAUAAGGAACUAAAAAAAACAUUCUUUAUGUUGUUAUUUGACCAUUUUGUAUUAUUUAUUUACAGAUCACAUGUGACAGAUGCAACUGGUGGUACCACCAAGGCUGCAUUAAGGUCCCACAAACCGACACAGACUACUGCUGUGCAAUGUGUUUAUAGAUUUUAUGUUUGUACCAAUCUAAUUCGUUAAUGACUGCAGUUCAGUGGAUUUUCAGUUUAAACAUGUGACAUAAUUUUUGUUGACUUAAUUGGUUUU